rnacentral:rRNA from 1 species
ACGUACACUCCUGCGGGAGGCAGCAGUGGGGAAUAUUGCACAAUGGGCGCAAGCCUGAUGCAGCCAUGCCGCGUGUAUGAAGAAGGCCUUCGGGUUGUAAAGUACUUUCAGCGGGGAGGAAGGCAAUACGGUUAAUAACCGUGUUGAUUGACGUUACCCGCAGAAGAAGCACCGGCUAACUCCGUGCCAGCAGCCGCGGUAAUACGGAGGGUGCAAGCGUUAAUCGGAAUUACUGGGCGUAAAGCGCACGCAGGCGGUCUGUCAAGUCGGAUGUGAAAUCCCCGGGCUCAACCUGGGAACUGCAUUCGAAACUGGCAGGCUUGAGUCUUGUAGAGGGGGGUAGAAUUCCAGGUGUAGCGGUGAAAUGCGUAGAGAUCUGGAGGAAUACCGGUGGCGAAGGCGGCCCCCUGGACAAAGACUGACGCUUAGGUGCGAAAGCGUGGGGAGCAAACAGGAUUAGAUACCCUAGUAGUCCCAU